rnacentral:rRNA from 1 species
AUGAGUAGAUACAAUGAAGGUGUGACACUUCUAUUUUUCUCCAAUAGAUGUUUUCUUUUGAUGGGGAAGCUCCCUGUGUUAUGUCAUAAUAUUUUUUUCCGAAAAUCAGCCACUGAAGAAGACAGGAAACCUCAAUGGAGAGAUGAAGAGGGGGCAAUCCAGGAAAGGAAGCUCACAGAUAAGUUCCAUAUCAUCCCCAAACGGAAAACACAUGAAAAGGAAGUAAAUAGGAGCUCAGGCCUGAUGGUACGAUUGAAGAGAACAAUGCUAGGCUUCUGGCCAAGGGUUAUACCCAGAAAGAGGUGA